GAUGAACGCUGGCGGCGUGCCUAAUACAUGCAAGUCGAGCGAACAGAUGAGGAGCUUGCUCCUCUGACGUUAGCGGCGGACGGGUGAGUAACACGUGGAUAACCUACCUAUAAGACUGGGAUAACUUCGGGAAACCGGAGCUAAUACCGGAUAAUAUAUUGAACCGCAUGGUUCAAUAGUGAAAGACGGUUUUGCUGGCACUUAUAGAUGGAUCCGCGCCGCAUUAGCUAGUUGUUAAGGUAACGGCUUACCAAGGCAACGAUGCGUAGCCGACCUGAGAGGGUGAUCGGCCACACUGGAACUGAGACACGGUCCAGACUCCUACGGGAGGCAGCAGUAGGGAAUCUUCCGCAAUGGGCGAAAGCCUGACGGAGCAACGCCGCGUGAGUGAUGAAGGUCUUCGGAUCGUAAAACUCUGUUAUUAGGGAAGAACAAAUGUGUAAGUAACUAUGCACGUCUUGACGGUACCUAAUCAGAAAGCCACGGCUAACUACGUG
rnacentral:rRNA from 1 species